UACGGGGGGGGCUAGCGUUGUUCGGAAUUACUGGGCGUAAAGGGCGCGUAGGCGGUCGCGCACGUCCGUUGUGAAAUCGCUCGGCUCAACUGGGCGGGGUCAGCGGAUACGGCGUGGCUGGAGCAAGCUAGGGGGCAAUGGAAUUCCCGGUGUAGUGGUGGUAUGCGUAGAUAUCUGGAGGAAUACCGGUGGCGAAGGCGGCAUCCUGGACCGGCAUUGACGCUGAGGAGCGAAAGCUAGGGGAGCAAACGGG
rnacentral:rRNA from 1 species